GUGUGGGAUAAAAAGAAUGUCUUUCCCUAAUUUUGAAAUAUGUGACAGAUGAGAAUGAAGAAAAAGGUUAUAGCAAAACAAAUUUUUAUGAUGUUUCUCCAAAACUGAUGAACUCUGAAAAAGCUAUAAGGAACCUAGAAAAGUUGGUUGAUAACACUUUCUGAAGCAUGGGUAAAUUGGGAAUUAAAUAGAGCUAUAAACUUGACUCAAACUUCUGGCUAACUCAAUAUUUAUUCAACAAAUAUUAACGAAGUACUUUCAACUGGGAUGCUGCGAGAAAGACAGAUGUUCCCCGUCCUUAAGAGUAAUGACAAUAUAGCGACGCCAGACUAUGAAGCAAGUAGAAACAUGGCAAGCGUUCUAAUAGUGGAAACACAGGGUUCAAGCACUGUAUCGAAGAGGCUCCAUGAAGUAGAAUUCCAAGCUUAAAUUCAACAUUGGCCAAAGAGGCAAAAGGAAACGUGCAAAAUGGAAGAGUCGGAAAUGACUCUGGAAAGCAGCCCUCACCGCUUGACCUGACACAGUCACCACAGG